rnacentral:sRNA from 1 species
AGAAAAGUAGGUGCUGCCCCGCACAGGGGCAACGCUAAUAGACCACUAACAAUUCAAGGAAAGGCCAAAAGACCAACGAGAGCAACGC